GGGGGGGGGGGGGGGGGGGGGGGGGGGGGGGGGGGGGGGGGAUGGCCAGUGCCCAUCCAGUGGCCAGUGCCCCAUCC
rnacentral:miRNA from 12 species